rnacentral:rRNA from 1 species
AUGGCUCAGGAUGAACGCUAGCGACAGGCUUAACACAUGCAAGUCGAGGGGCAGCGGGGGCGAAAGCUUGCUUUCGUCAGCCGGCGACCGGCGCACGGGUGAGUAACACGUAUGGAACCUGCCCUAUGCAGGGGGAUAAGCGGAAGAAAUUCCGUCUAAUACCGCAUAACACCAUUUGGAGACAUCUCCAGGUGGUCAAAGGAGGCGACUCCGGCAUAGGAUGGCCAUGCGUCGCAUUAGCUAGUCGGCGGGGUAACGGCCCACCGAGGCGACGAUGCGUAGGGGUUCUGAGAGGAAGGUCCCCCACACUGGUACUGAGACACGGACCAGACUCCUACGGGAGGCAGCAGUGAGGAAUAUUGGUCAAUGGGCGCAAGCCUGAACCAGCCGAGUCGCGUGAGGGAAGACGGUCCUAUGGAUUGUAAACCUCUUUUGUCGGGGAGCAAAGCGCGGUACGAGUACCGCGAAGGAGAGUACCCGAAGAAAAAGCAUCGGCUAACUCCGUGCCAGCAGCCGCGGUAAUACGGAGGAUGCGAGCGUUAUCCGGAUUUAUUGGGUUUAAAGGGUGCGUAGGCGGAUUUGUAAGUCAGCGGUAAAAAUGCGGUGCUCAACGCCGUAUCGCCGUUGAAACUGCAGGUCUUGAGUGAGCGAGAAGUAUGCGGAAUGCGUGGUGUAGCGGUGAAAUGCAUAGAUAUCACGCAGAACUCCGAUUGUGAAGGCAGCAUACCGGCGCUCAACUGACGCUGAGGCACGAAAGCGUGGGGAUCGAACAGGAUUAGAUACCCUGGUAGUCCACGCAGUAAACGAUGAAUGCUAACUGUCCGGUCCGCUUAAGGGCUGGGUGGUACAGCGAAAGCGUUAAGCAUUCCACCUGGGGAGUACGCCGGCAACGGUGAAACUCAAAGGAAUUGACGGGGGCCCGCACAAGCGGAGGAACAUGUGGUUUAAUUCGAUGAUACGCGAGGAACCUUACCCGGGCUCAAACGUAGAUGGAAUAGCGGUGAAAGCCGUUAGCCCUUCGGGGCCGUCUACGAGGUGCUGCAUGGUUGUCGUCAGCUCGUGCCGUGAGGUGUCGGCUUAAGUGCCAUAACGAGCGCAACCCCUAUCGACAGUUGCUAACAAGUAGCGUUGAGGACUCUGUCGAGACUGCCGGCGCAAGCUGCGAGGAAGGCGGGGAUGACGUCAAAUCAGCACGGCCCUUACGUCCGGGGCGACACACGUGUUACAAUGGCAGGUACAGCGGGAAGCCAUACGGCGACGUAGCGCAGAACCCGAAAACCUGUCUCAGUUCGGAUUGGAGUCUGCAACUCGACUCCAUGAAGCUGGAUUCGCUAGUAAUCGCGCAUCAGCCACGGCGCGGUGAAUACGUUCCCGGGCCUUGUACACACCGCCCGUCAAGCCAUGGAAGCCGGGGGUGCCUGAAGUGCGUCAGCGCAAGCGACGCCCUAGGGUAAAACCUGGUGACUGGGGCUAAGUCGUAACAAGGUA